GCUAGGAUUAAAGGUGUGCGCCACCACUGCCCAGCUGUCCUGAGACUCUUGAUUAGGAAGGUGAACAUGGGUUCAGGGAAGUCCAUGGCUAGGACUGGCUUGAAGCCAGGAGGUCACCCUCUGUCCUUCCCAACGCAUCUAGCUUGAGGGAAACGCCAGAGCUGGCUUUCAAUGUUUUCAGACGAGCUCAAGAAUAGCAAGGGGACAUUUUGAUGGGGACAUUUGAAAUCCAGCAGCUUUCACACUUUUCACUUUAUGAACACCCUUAGGUGUCUAUCUGCAGAAGCCUCCUGGGUGUCCCCCCUCUUUCUUCCACCUGCCCUUACUCCAUACAGCAGACCAGGCUGCUUUUGAUUGGCUGUCUGCUGUUCACAGCACUUCCUGCUUUUCCCGUCUUCUCGAGCCCAACGACCUCACUGAAGUCCCCUUUAAGAGUCUGCUCCACCCACUGCCAUCUCUCCCAGCCUACAUCCACGUGGCUCUGAUGAUGGGAAGCACCAGCAAGUGGCACCAGCCAGCAGAAGCCACAUGCAUUACCAUUGUCCUUGGCUCUGUGACUCCAGCUAUGAAGAGCAUAUCCUGAGAACAGCAGCCCUUGGAACCCCGUCACCUUUCUCUCCAAGAACAGACCUCACAAGGACACGACCUCCCCGAGCUGAGGGCAUCUGUGCACUCACUCAGGGCUCCCCGAAAGGGCUUGCUGAAUGGGAAAAGCACCAGCCGUGAGGCAGCAGGGGACAGAGAUGACACCAGGCCGACAGUGAAGGAAAUUCUUGGUGUUUCCAAGUAGGCAUUUCCAGGGUACAGACUCUGCAGAGUCACACUGGUGUUGGUCCAGCACCUUCUGAGUACUGUGCGGGUGAAGACAGAUUACAGAGGAGGAAACAGGAGAAAUGAUGUACCCUCCCCUAGACGGCUGAUCACAAACCCAGUCUCCACAUCUUCCUGUCUUCAAACUUGUUCAUGGUGGCUUCUAUCUUCAUGCCUCUCAGGGGAGCAGGACACAACCUUCAAAUACAAGUCUCCAGGGGAGCCAUGGGAAGGCUCAAGGUACGUGUGUGUGUGUGUGUGUGUGUGUGUGUGUGUGUGUGUGUGUGUGUAGGGGGCUCACUUCUGCAUACCCAAGACUGUCCUCCUGCCACAGGAGAAGUUCAGCCUGAUAUGAGACUUCAAUCAAAAUGAUUUAUCUCCCCAAACCCUGAAAAUAUGUCUGUUACUUCAAGAAUUUAUUGUUUGAAUAAAUUGGCAUAUUUAAUGCAAUGCUUUAAAUGUGACAUUUAAACAAACUUAUUAAUCUAAC